rnacentral:rRNA from 1 species
UACGGGGGGGGUAAGCGUUGUUCGGAAUUACUGGGCGUAAAGGGCUCGUAGGCGGCCAACUAAGUCAUACGUGAAAUCCCUCAGCUUAACUGGGGAACUGCGUGUGAUACUGGAUGGCUUGGAUUUGGGAGAGGGAUGCGGAAUUCCAGGUGUAGCGGUGAAAUGCGUAGAUAUCUGGAGGAACACCGGUGGCGAAGGCGGCAGCCUGGACCAAUAUUGACGCUGAGGAGCGAAAGCCAGGGGAGCAAACGGG